GAAGUGGAGACUGGGGCGUGAAGGUCUUUCGACAGAGUGAGCUUCUCCUUUCUGCUGAAAAGUUUCGCUGCGGGCCUCUCCUACUACCUCCUCAGGGUCUUGUGAGUGACUACGGACCUAAAAUCCCCACACCCGCCCCUGAAUUUACCCCAGGGUCAACAUCUAAAGAGAAUUGCUACCUGGGUAAGAAGCCCGGAAGAGGAGGAAGAGGAAAGAAAAGGAGUCAGAAAUGGCUCUUUCUCAGCCACUGUUGGGGACUUCCCUGGUGGUCCAGUGGUUAAUGGGCC